CCCAGGUCCUUCUCCAGGGCUGCUCCAGCUGCUCAUCCCCUGCAUUGAUCUGGGAGUUUCCCUGAGCCAGGGGCAGCACCAGCACUUGCUGUUGUGAGUUGUUGUCAGCCUUUGAGCCUCACAGAGCCGAGGCUGCAGGGAAGUCAGACACAUGGGAGUGCUGUGGGGACACCCUGGGUGUCACCUCCCAACCAAGGUCUGCAUUAACCCUUGUAAAAUCAUAUUUACGAGAAAAUAGACUUGUACUGAAUGAACCAGCCUAACCUUCUAAAAAUAAAAACUUAAGUCAUCUUUGUUACAAAACUGUAUUCAUCUUUAUAGAUAAAAAACUGUUACAAGAAGAAAAAGCAGAAAAGUUGCUAACAGACAUAGAAGUAUCAACCCAAAUAAAAUAACACUUACAGCAACUACUAAUUAGAUUAAGAAAAAGAUGUGUGCUUACAUUGUAGACAAAAUAGAGCUACCAAUCAAGAGAUACAUGGACAAAGCAGAACUACCUAUCAAUGUGUGAUUUUGUAGACCAAGGUGGCCCAGAGCUGAAUGUCCUCAAUUAAUUUGGUUUUAGUUAUUCUCCCUAAACAAGCAAAUUCCAACGUGAGGGCAGAAAGCAAAGCUAACGAGGCACUGCAUCCUCCAGACACCCCAGCUUUAUCGUUCUCAAGUGGAUGAGCCCUGCAGACAUGGAACAGUGGCUCGGCUCAGCCAAGGCACACACAGCAGCCCAGGAUGUAACAACUCCCUGCUGCUCUCUUUGUUUCUCUGGCUGCUCUUCACUGUCCUGUUUUAUGAAAUUUAGUUUUCAUCUCCUUUGGACUUGAGAGAAGAACAAGUUUACAAAGCAGCUCAGCUUGUGCCACCCUUAGCAUUUCCCCUGACCUCCAAGAGUACUUCUCAUAAGGUAAAAUGCAUUCAGUUGGACUUAGCCAAAGCUGUUGUUUAUCUCAUGGAAUAUUUUAAAAGCCAAUCUGUUCCAUCUGUUGGUGUAUUUUUACUCUGAUUGAAAUAGACACAGAACAAAACACUUGUGGUCUGUGUGUUUAAUGGGUUGUGUGUUUAAAGAUCCUGCCCUGCCUUUUCUGGUUGUACCAAACCUGCUGAUGGCAGCCUGAAUAUCCUUUUGCAGCUUCUGUUGU
rnacentral:lncRNA from 1 species